rnacentral:rRNA from 1 species
UACGUAGGGUGCAAGCGUUGUCCGGAAUUAUUGGGCGUAAAGAGCUCGUAGGCGGUUUGUCGCGUCGAAUGUGAAAACCCGGGGCUCAACCCCGGGCCUGCAUUCGAUACGGGCAGACUAGAGUUCGGUAGGGGAGUCUGGAAUUCCUGGUGUAGCGGUGAAAUGCGCAGAUAUCAGGAGGAACACCGGUGGCGAAGGCGGAUCUCUGGGCCUUACCUGACGCUCAGGUGCGAAAGCUAGGGGAGCGAACAGG